CCCACAUCAGAUGAGCUUGAGCCCCACUUCAGCCUGCUUGUGGCCCUCGGAUCCACCACCAGCGUUCCUGCCUCAGCAUCUCCCUCUGUGGAACACCUGCCCUCCUGUGAACUGACCAAAGUCUACCCUUCCUUCCUGCUGGCCAGGGCCCCGCACUUGCAGGCCACCAUUCCUGACUGCUCUGGUCUUUCUCCGCACCACGAUGGAGGGAGCUGUGUGAUGAGGAAUGUGAGUGGUCUCUAAAAACUGAGAGCAGUCUUCGCCUGAAGGCCAGCAAGGACAUGGGGACCUCAGUCUUAGAACCAUAGGAACCAAAUGCUGCCAACAACCUGAAUGACUUUGGAUGUGGAUUCUUCCCCAGACCCUCCAGAUAAGGACCUGGCCUGCUGAUACCUUGACUUUGGCCUCGUGAGACCCUGAGGAAAAACUGAGCUGAAUCUCCUGCACCUCUAAAUUCUAGAAUUGUGAGAUAAUAAAUGUUUUAAGCUGCUAAA